rnacentral:rRNA from 1 species
GACGAACGCUGGCGGCGCGCCUAACACAUGCCAGUCGAACGGAGCUGAGAGAAGCUUGCUUUUCUUAGCUUAGUGGCGAACGGGUGAGUAACGCGUGAGUAACCUGCCCUGGAGUGGGGGACAACAGUUGGAAACGACUGCUAAUACCGCAUAAGCCCACGAUCCGGCAUCGGAUUGAGGGAAAGGGAUUUAUUCGCUUCAGGAUGGACUCGCGUCCAAUUAGCUAGUUGGUGAGGUAACGGCCCACCAAGGCGACGAUUGGUAGCCGGACUGAGAGGUUGAACGGCCACAUUGGGACUGAGACACGGCCCAGACUCCUACGGGAGGCAGCAGUGGGGGAUAUUGCACAAUGGGGGAAACCCUGAUGCAGCGACGCCGCGUGGAGGAAGAAGGUUUUCGGAUUGUAAACUCCUGUCGUUAGGGACGAUAAUGACGGUACCUAACAAGAAAGCACCGGCUAACUACGUG